UGGGAGACGUCUGCUUCCAACUUCUCCGGAACAAAAUCUCAACUAAAUUACUAAAAUAAUACAAAUCAGGUAACAUUGAAACUUAUAGCAACAUGUGAAGGAUGUCAAAAGGGAUGGCUGGGAGACGUCUGCUUCCAACUUCUCCGGUGCAACAGAAAAUCUGGAGAAGAAAGAAAAUGUUUGCAAGGGGUCAUUGUAGGAUUAGUUGUGGGCUUUAAUAAAACAACAACAAAAAGAAAAAUAUUUAAAAUGAUUGGCAUCCCUAGUUUUAUUUGAAAGCCCAUUCUUAUUUAAGAGGCUUCUUCCCUACUCCUUGACCCAUGUAAGAAGCCAUGGCUUCCCAAUCAUCCAGACUCAGUCAUGGCAACCCAAACAAGUUCAUACAAUAUUAUUUUUUCUUGUGUAUGCAGCAAUCAGUAUUAUAUAUAUAUAUACUAGUAUACUCCAAGUGGAGCCUCAUCAAGGGAAGGAGAAAACAAGAAUUCUCACAAACAUGGUAUUAAUUAAGGGACUGUAAGACAACAUAAUAAAAACAAAGUAUCUGUUGAAAAACAAACAAGAACACAAUUAAAACAACUAAUUCUAGACCCAUAAGUUCAUAGUGGAUUAAAUAAAAUAGCAAAACUAUCAUCAUAUCCAAUGUAAGAAGCAGCGGCGGGCAUUUCGUCGAACAGAUAGAAACCAUAUAUAAUUGCAACAUGCCAAACCCUUGAUAUGUAAUGAACAUAAAUUGCUUUAACUUAGUAGCUUGAUACAUUGUAUUCUGGGGCUUUGUUUAUACUUGCCUACUUGAACAAACUGGUGCUGAUAUCUUUGUAUUCUCGGGCGCAGCAAGGGCACAGCCGCAUAGCAAGAGCGCAGAGGCGCAACAGGGGCGCAAGUCGUGCGACUAGGCAGGGGACAACAGGGUUAGGGCACGGUUGGGGCCACGAGCGACUGGAUGCUUGAGAGAGAUGAUGGCGAUUAGUCGUGACUAGUGAGCCAUGAGAGAAAUUUGGGCGCAGCGUAGA
rnacentral:lncRNA from 1 species